AUUGAACGCUGGCGGCAGGCCUAACACAUGCAAGUCGAGCGGAUGAAGGGAGCUUGCUCCUGGAUUCAGCGGCGGACGGGUGAGUAAUGCCUAGGAAUCUGCCUGGUAGUGGGGGAUAACGUCCGGAAACGGGCGCUAAUACCGCAUACGUCCUGAGGGAGAAAGUGGGGGAUCUUCGGACCUCACGCUAUCAGAUGAGCCUAGGUCGGAUUAGCUAGUUGGUGGGGUAAAGGCCUACUAAGGCGACGAUCCGUAACUGGUCUGAGAGGAUGAUCAGUCACACUGGAACUGAGACACGGUCCAGACUCCUACGGGAGGCAGCAGUGGGGAAUAUUGGACAAUGGGCGAAAGCCUGAUCCAGCCAGGCCGCGUGUGUGAAGAAGGUCUUCGGAUUGUAAAGCACUUUAAGUUGGGAGGAAGGGCAGUAAGUUAAUACCUAGCUGUUUUGACGGUACCAACAGAAUAAGCACCGGCUAACUUCGUG
rnacentral:rRNA from 1 species